AACCGAUUCCCCCUUUUUUAGCUCCAGCCUUUGAUCAUGUGGCUGAUGAGUCAAGCCAGCACUUUGACUCGUCCCAUUUUGCCAGCGCGCGCGUGUGUGUGUGUGUGAGUGCGCGCGCGUGGGAGGGAGAUGGGAGCGAGCAAGAAACCUGUUGCAAGCUCUGACCAGCGCCCAGCUCCUCGUGCGAGGAGUGAGGGGGAGUCCCGAGCUGGGAGAGAGGAUUUCGGUUGGGAUCCGCUCCCUUUUCGGGGCUGGGGAGGGGGGACGAGGGGAUGGAGAGCUCGGAGGGGCUGGCACGGUUUUCCUCGGAGAUGGCUGAACGGGCUUCCUUCCUUCCUUCCUUCUUUCAGCAAUGGCUUGUUUGUUCAGCCUUGCUGAGCAGAUGGAGGAGGAGGAGUGGUUCAGCUCGCUGAAUAUAACUGUUUCCAAAGAAAGGCUUAUAAGCCGAGAUGCUUAGUGCUCGGGCGUGAAUUAAUUUGUGCUGCGCAGCAUUUGCUUUAAAAGCAAAUUAAAAAAGCAUUUUGUAUUCUCGGGCGUUUUCGAGGCUCCUAUCCCGAGCGCUGCUCCUCGCAGCUGCCUGCGGUGUUUUCCCUCCUCGAGCAGAUGGUCCUUGCCUUUGUCCCGUGCAGCAAAGCUCUGGCACCUCUCGGGAGCUGCCCCUGGAAGCUGUCCCGUGUACCUUGCCCUAAAAUCAGAGCGAGCACGGGGGAGACCUCGUUCUUAUAACGCUAAUUCCUGGGGGCGAGUGGGCACGCGUGGUUCUGGGGCAGUUUCUCCUUGGGUCAUGAUGUUUCCCCCUCCCAGGGGCUAAUUCUGCCGCUCCCUUUAUGGCUCAGUUCUCAUUUUUUAUUGAUUUACUCAAUAUAUACUCAAUUUAUUUACCCAAUCCUGCUCGUUUCGGGACCCCCGCGUUGCCCUGCUCUGAGAUUUUGCCUCUCACCCCCAAUUUCCAACCCCGGCAGCCUUUCCUGCUCUCUCAAUAACCACCUCCUCUGCAGCUCGGGGUGACCUGGACAUCUUCCUUGGACAUCUCUAUCCCAUCCUAUUUGACUUUGGCUUUUUCUCUGUUUUUUUUUUCUGUUUUUUCCCUGCCACGCGAGCCCCUCGGGGAGCUCGCUUUCCCCCGAGCCGCUGCCGUGCGCUGUUGGGAGGCAGUUGGCAGGCGUUGCUUAUAGAUAUAGAUACGUGUGUGUGUAUUAAAUAGAACAGCCCAGAAUAUCCGGCAGGCAGGGGUUCAUUCGGCAGCACCAGCUUUUCCAGGCCUUUUCCUUCCCUUCCCCAAAGCAGCACAGCAAUUUUCGUGCCAGCCGGGCGCCGGUUUUGAUGUGCCCCCCCGUUUAUGGAUCGUGCCGAUCCUCGACAGGCAGCAGAUCCUUGGAGAGCUGAAAAUAGGAAGCCCAGAGCCUGGUAACCUCACAAUGUCGGCCUCCGGAGCCCGCUGCAGGAAGUGGGAAGGUGCGGCACCGCCAGCGCCGCGUCCCGAGCCGGUCCGAGGGGAAGUGGUUGCGGGGAGAAAAUCUCCCACUCACGGAGAUCAGGCCACAAAAGAAGAGGAUAAAGAAAAGAAGAAGAAGAAAAAGAAAAAACAACAGCAUUUAUCAGCAUCUAACUUA